CGCCUGCCCCGUGACAAAAGUUUAACGGCCGCGGUAUUUUGACCGUGCAAAGGUAGCGCAAUCACUUGUCUUUUAAAUGAAGACCUGUAUGAAUGGCAUAACGAGGGCUUAGCUGUCUCCUUUCCCCAAUCAAUGAAAUUGAUCUCCCCGUGCAGAAGCGAGGAUAAACACAUAAGACGAGAAGACCCUAUGGAGCUUUAGAUACAAAGACAGCUCUUGUUAAACACCUCAAAAUAACGAAAAAAACUAAAAGAAAACCUGCCCUAAUAUCUUUGGUUGGGGCGACCGCGGGGAAACAAACAACCCCCAUGUGGAUUGAGAAGACAAUUCUCACAACCAAGAGCCACAGCUCUAGCUAGCAGAACUUCUGACCUUUAAGAUCCGGCAAUGCCGAUCAACGGACCGAGUUACCCUAGGGAUAACAGCGCAAUCCUUUUUUAGAGUUCAUAUCGACAAAAGGGUUUACGACCUCGAUGUUGGAUCAGGACAUCCUAAUGGUGCAGCCGCUAUUAAGGGUUCGUUUGUUCAACGAUUAAAGUCCU
rnacentral:rRNA from 1 species